rnacentral:rRNA from 1 species
UGAACGCUGGCGGCGUGCCUAACACAUGCAAGUCGCACGAGAAAUCUUCAGCUUGCUGAAGAGAGUAAAGUGGCGUACGGGUGAGUAACGCGUGGGUAAUCUGCCUCCGAAUCGGGGAUAACAUUGCGAAAGCGAUGCUAAUACCGGAUAACAUCCCUUUGGCUUCGGCCGUUGGGAUCAAAGGUGGCCUCUACAUGUAAGCUACUGUUUGGAGAUGAGCUCGCGUACCAUUAGCUUGUUGGUGAGGUAACGGCUCACCAAGGCUACGAUGGUUAGCUGGUCUGAGAGGAUGAUCAGCCACACUGGAACUGACACACGGUCCAGACUCCUACGGGAGGCAGCAGUGAGGAAUUUUGCGCAAUGGGGGAAACCCUGACGCAGCAACGCCGCGUGAGUGAUGAAGGCUUUCGGGUCGUAAAGCUCUGUCAAGUGGGAAGAAACUACGAAGUGCCAAUACCACUUUGUACUGACGGUACCACUGAAGGAAGCACCGGCUAACUCC